ensembl:ncRNA lncRNA:CR45251 long non-coding RNA:CR45251
AUCGCAUCGCAUGGGAUCGGUUUGGGGCUCUGGCCCGUCCGCUCGUCUGUCAUCCAUUUGGCAAACUUCAACAGAUUGUUGCGUCUCGUCUCGUUUCGUUUCGUUUCGUCAACAACAAAGCGGUUCGAAAACAAUGGACGCCACUCAUCGAGUGGGCUGGGGACUCUAAAAAAUAAAGCCACGCUGAGCCAAUAAAACUAUGCUGCUAUGACACUAAGCCAUACAUAUCUACGGAUUAAAAUCAUUACAAAAUUUAAAAUUCAAUUAUUAAUUUUUGUGAGGUAAUUAAGGUGGUUGCUGGAUUGUAUGUAAUGGAUAACAGCUUCUCAAUAAAUAUAUUUAUAUACAU